GCGCGGUGUCCUGUCGUGAUUUAAGCGCAAAUCGCAAAACCAAGAGAACGCGACACACUGUUCUUGUCAAUGGUCGUUAUUGUGGUUCUUCAAAACUUAGAUUUACUGCGCGGGAAAUCACUCAUCGGUAACAUGAUGUCGUGGUGUAAGCUGUUUUUGACCCUCAGCCUGGUAACUUCCUGCGUACUAUCUGCGCCACUCGCUGACGGCUCAGAUAUGAAAGAAGACAAGCCCGAUGUUCCUGUGGAGCAAUUGGAAAAGCUUAAAAUAGAGGAGAUCAACAAGGAGAAUCCAGAGCUAAAAAGCGAACAUAUCGAAUAUCAUAGACUUGACACGGUACAAACGAACGGGGAACUGGUCUCUCGUCUAGAACAACACGCAUCAGCGGACGCAGUGGACAAUGAAAAGCCCCGGGUCCACUCGGAGACGCAGGUGGAUGUACCUUCCAAGGGCGUGCAUCAGACGGUAGUACAGGAUGGAUCUCAUGUCAGUGUUAUUGAAUUAACGUCCACCGUUGCGCCAAGUGAUGAACAAACUACUAAGGUAUUCCACGGAGCGGCCCGUCUGAUUCAACCAGGUUCUGCCACCCAACAAUCCAACCCUCCAAAUGGCCACACAGCUGUAAGGCGAGCUUUCAACGCCGACAUCAACAAGGAAAUUAAGAAUAACAUGGAUCACUACGCUUCGUACUCUGGGGUUCAAUAUUCGCCUUUGGAUAUGGCAGAAUAUGUGUUCUGGACUGGUGAUGAGCACGGUGUCACUAAUGCUAUUGAGGAGUUCCUACAAGAAGGUCUGAUGAACAAAGAAGAAGCGAUCGCAUUUCUUCAAGAAAUAAAGUUCAAUAUCGAUUACCUCCGCGCCCAUUACGCACAGAAUAUCAAUGCGGCUGAACAAAAUGCGCAACAAGAAAAACUGAGGAACGCUCUAUUGGAACAGAAUGCUAAGGAGCUUCAAUACCGGCCGAUGCAGUCAUUUCCGUUCGGCGGCAGCCCUGACAUAGUGCGCUCGAUCUCCGGCAAGACGUGGGAGAUGAGCAACAAUCUCGGCGUGGUGCCAGCCCUGCCCGUGUCCACUGAUCUGCGCCCGGAGAUUGCGAAGCGCGCUUACGACCCUAUGAUGCAGACUAACGUUAUUAGUACGUCUGAUUACGACCGCGAUGGUUCAAUUGUCAGCGAGGAAGAAUACGAGGAAAUGAUGGAGAAAUUGAGAGCCGCUGAUACUCUCUAUACUGAAUACUCGUUGGAGGAAAUCAUUUAUCAACUGGCUAAGAUGAUGUUCUCCCAGUCGUUGUCCCGCGACCCUCUGUCCGCGCGCACGUCGAUGCAGCGCUUCAUGACGUUCCUCGAGCUGGAGGCCGAGCGGGGACAGCUCUCUAGGAACGUCGAGAAGAAAGUGCUGGACAUCAUGGUCGCGGCUCUGACGGACACUCUAGGGGAACACCCAGAACUAUUGCAACAAAGGGAAACGUUUGGCGGCAACUCUGCUAAUCGGAUCAUGAAACAAUUCCUGGACGCAAGCGCAUCAGAGCCCGGAAUGAACCGCGCCAUCUUGUCCGCCUACAAACACGACCUGCUCAAACGACCACCGCUACAGAAACUCGCUUUCGAACAAAAUUAAUUAUUUCAAACAUUGUUUUCGUUUCAUUUAUUUAUGACGUGUUUUUUAAUAUAUUUUAGUAUCAAUUUAAAACCAGUUAAGUUUACACUUUUUAAGCUCAACCUGACCAGUGACCAAGUAUUAUUGUUUUCGGCGAUAUCAAGAAAUAUAUAAAUUAUAAAAAAAAAAUUAAGUCCAUUGACCUUUCUUGUCUAAGAGAUCUCAAAUAAUAAGGAUAAACAGUAAAAGUACACCUACAUUUAAAUUGUCUUUGCUUUUUAAUGUAGCCUGGAUUUGAAAAUAAGUAUUUAUAGCCAAAUAUUUAUAUUAGUUCUAAAGAAGGAUAACGUUUAAUUGCUAUUAGCAUUAACUAGUAUAAUAUAUACAAUUUUUUAUCUAUAGUAGCCAAAUAACUAGGUUUAACUUUCACGAGUACCUAUUAAAAUGUACCUUUGAAAAUUAAAAAAAAAACCGCUUUUCAUUUCUGUUAGAAUAGUCUCUAUUACUUGAUAGUGUUUCCUCAGCUUGCGAUUUACAAUUAAUAUCAUUAGAAAUAUAAUAGAACAUCUAAUAUUUAAAAUAUCAGAAAUGAGAAAUAAUAUUAUGUACGAUAAAUAAUAUUUUAAUAUACAAUGAACCAUUAUUUAUAUACAUAUUUACAUAAUAUAUCAAACUUACUUCCACUAGGCACAUUGAUGAAUAAAAAUACAUAUGUUUGCUUAAAAUACGCGCUUAUUUGGGUGCGGAUCCAUUGAGAUAAUAAUAUAUAAAGGCAUAAUAUAUUAAAUUUUACCCUAUAAUUCAACUGUUAAGAUGAGAAUAGGGGAAAAUUGGUUUUUGGUUCGACUAUUGUAAUUUGUAGGUAGGUAACUAUCUCGCUUUGGCAUGCUUUGGUCGUAGUAAUGAGCCAAGUGUAUGUACAAAAUCUUAAAUAAGCAAUGAGGUCAGUUUAAACUUUCGUCUUGUUGGAUAAAACUUGCCUAUUAAAUCGCUAAUGAUACCUACCGCACCCAUAAUCUAGGACACAAAUGACAAAUUAAUUUCGAUCUCAUAAAAUUAACAUAUCCAAGACCAUAACGAACAAUCAACAUAUGCAUAUAUUUUUGAAUAUGUCCUCAUUGUAUACCUAUAGAUACUAAUUAUUGUUGAAAGUCAGAAUAUUAUUUACACAUUCCUUAGCUAUAACUAUGUGUCAUUAUUGGAAUAAAAGACAUAAUAUUAAGACUUGAAUAGUGUACGGAAAUUGGAAUAUUAAUGAGACGCUGCAUUAAUGAUCUGCAAAAUUUAAUAUAUUUGUAAUAUUCUUUGAAAUAUAUUAUGAAUUUAAUAAAAAAGUUUAUGUCA